ensembl:lncRNA
UAUAUCAAUUUUUUUUUUUCCAGUAGACUUUGGGGAUAAUAAAUAUUUUGUUGACUUUUUUGCAGACAUUAAUACAGAGCAACUAGUCUGACACAGGUCCGCAAGGCUUACUUCUCCAGAAUCAUCAGCCUGCUCUUUUCCUGCAUCCAUACUUUGAGUAGCCUUUAUAGUCCUGCUACAAACUGCUUACAGUGGACUUGGCUUAUCAUCUCCAAUACCCAUCGGAUUUUCAGUUUCACCAUGCUUAACUGACCCGAGCAGAUUGUUCUUCCAGCAUCACAGCAGAACCAACACACCAGUGAAAGGGAUUCUUUUCAGCUACACGCCUCAUCAGCACUGGCAUUGAUACGGUUUGGCAAAGCAGCCUCUACUGCUUCCUGGUAGCAACACCUCCAUUAGAAGCCUCUGUGUGCACAGGUGAUGCAGGACCCUGGACCCACUCUGGACACUUAUCUGAAGGCAGCCACAAAGAUCCAGGAAGAAACAGAAGAACACCUGCUGGCAGCAUGGCUGAGGCACAACAGUUUUGCCCAACCUCAGUUCUGUGCUCGUAUUUCAUGGUGAUUUCUGGAAAUGCCAUCUUCCCUUGGAGCUGAGCUUUUGUUGUGCUGCAGUCUUAGGGUACUUUCAUCAGAGAUACAGUAGUAUGGCAGCAAUUCCUUACUGUGCUCUGACACCUCCAGCCACAAUUAACAUCUCCCCUUUUCACUGGAGGUUAUCCUUCUGUCCCUUUACUUUGUCUCUCCUUUUUUUUUUUUUAAACAAUAGCAGAAGUCACAGAAAAGGUGACAGCUGGUGUCUGUUGCUUGGAGUGCAUUAUAGGUGGUAACUCCAUAAUGCUCCUGAAGGCAGAGAUGCAGAUACUGUCUAAUUCCCCUCCUCCCAAGUCCCCCACCAAAGGACUUCUCCCCAGAAUCUGACCCAUGAUAAGAAUCAGGUGCAGUUGCACUCACUAUGCCCACAUAACAUACAAUACUGUUGCAUAUGCAGCACUACUGUGAUACUUUCCUGCUACAAUCCGAGAUAAGAAUAGAGUUAAUUAAGUUCUUAGGGACAUGGGCUAGUGGGCAUGGUGCUGAUGGGCUGACAAUUGAACUGGAUGUUCUUAGAGAUCUUUUCCGACCUUAAUGAAUUUAUGAUUCUAUGAUUCUGACAGCACAUCUUGAGCCAAUAGAUGAGAACUCUUUCAGUAGAGAGCAUCUCUGUUAGUACAAACUUAAGAUCUUCUGGGUCAAAAUCAAGACUUAAGCUAAGUAGCUCCCAGUACCAUCAGUGAGCAGCAUUUGACUAAACAUUCAUGUACAUAUUUGAGCAUUUAUAAAAAAACACACAUGCAUUAAUACAUGUAUGCAUGCAAGUUUGUAGGAAGGGAAGUUUUUAGUUGCAGAACUCAGCUCUCUGAACAUUGUGUUUCUCAGAUGAAUGAUAACUCAUUCCCAAACGUUAAAGAUCUGUCUAUGUGUGUGCCUACUUUCAUAAAGAAAGGAAUUUGAGAAAGUAGGAGGAAUUUCUACAUGAAAAGGCCAAGACAACUAUGUAUGCACAGAUGGUGCCUGACAGUACCAUACUCUCAGGCAGGCUGAUUAGUGCAGCCUCGGUGCCACAAUAACAUAGAUGUGCUGGGCUGGAGCUGGCUGACACUUGACAGCUGAGAGAGAAUCAGCAAUUGGUUGCACCCAUUUGUGCUGACAUACUUAAGAAGGCAGGAAAUUGUGAGAAGGCAGAGAAAAGGAAACAACAGUGACAUAUACAAACAUAAUUAUAUGCAUAUAUAUAUAAGUAAUGAUAGUUUCUGUUUUUUAUUUGUUUGUUUGUUUGGUUGGUUGUAUUUUAUUUUAUUUUAUUUUAUUUUUUUUUGUCUCUUUAGUAAGGAAAGGAGGUUGUUUCUUCUCCAUCAGGUUUUUUAAUCACAUCUCUAUUUAAUAAAGAUGAAUAUACAUACUCUGUACCAGUGCAGCCUCCAUCUUAUCAUUAGCCUCCAUACAGCCAUCAGGAAACUGGCUGUUAGUUGGAGCUACAUCCUGAGAGCAGGGAAAGUGGAGUUAUCUCAAGGGUUGCCAGGACCUCAGGAGGAGCUGGAGGAAUGUGGACCUGAGCACCAGGUGAUGCAGCUGUGCUGUCUCAGAGAAGGCAGGAGUUUGCCUUCAUGAGUGGAACCCAUUAAUGUCACUUGGAUCUCCCUCCUGCUUCUGCAGAGUGUCCAAGUUGAGCAUCGUUUUAUUUAGACCCGUGGCACCAAAACUGGGCUCGGAAUACAAUGCGAAAGCAAGAUUCUCAGCCUGUCUCUGUCUGCUCUCAUCUGUACAAAGGAACCGGAGGGGCACUUUCCCCUGGUCAGACAACCUGGCACUGGUUUUAUGCUGAGGCAAUGCCUGGACAGGCUUGACAGAUGCACAGUGUUUUGAAACAGAGCUUGCAUUCUUAAGGCUGCCAACUGCACAGAACAGAGCUGAAUGGUGCAGUUCUUGGCUGGAACAAAACUGGGAAGUCCCUGGCUUCUUCCAUUCAGUUGGAAAUAAAAUAUAAAGAAAGGCCAUGAACAUCCUAUGAGAUAAGUUCCAUACUAAGACCUUACUUCAAAUCAUAGCUAUUUAUGCGCAGAGUACAAAGCCUUUAGCAGAAAGCAUGUGGUAUAAUUAUCAUCCAUUUACAGGCCUAUUUUGCCAAUGGGGAAACUGAGGCAGAGAGCAGGACAUGUUGCUCAACAAGCCUGUGAAGUUACAGGGAUUAGAGCAAAAUCCAGGUGCCUGAAGUCCACAUCUGAUACUGUAGCCAUAAGCAGAGCUACAUCUCAGCUAUCUAUGGAAAUCCCUGCAACUAGCUCCGGAGUAAAGAGCUUAGCCAUUCUCUCCUCAGUCAGAUACUUUUAUGAACACCUAAUUUCACUGAAAGCAUUCUCAAUAAACCAAAUAGAAUCAUACGAUCACAGAAUCAUUAAGGUUGGAAGAUCACGUAGUCCAACAAUCAACCCAUCCCCACCAUGCCCACUGACCACGUCCCUCAGCACCACAUCCACACAGUUUGUGAACACCUCAGAGGACAGUGACUGUACCACCUCCCUGAGCAAUGUGAGCC